ensembl:snoRNA
AAGUAUUUUUAAAAGAAAAUACUCUCCAACAGCAUUCCAGAGUAACUGGAGAGACUUUGACAGCCCAGGCCAGCACAGUGUCUGCAGCUGCCUCUCGACUUUCCUAUAUAU